AAAACAGCGCUGGCAGCACAGCCUGUGACUCACCGGCGUGUGCCCCCACACUGCAGCUGGGCCAGCGCUGGGCCGUCCUGAUUCAUGUUUUCCGUGGUUAUCCGGGGAAAUGGAAACCGUCUGGACGCGGCGCCCACUCGCACGCUGGCGCUCACGCUGCGCUGAUCAGCUUGGAAGUGCGGAAGGGCCUCCUCUCAGCCUCCUCCCCUACCUGCAGCCGCAGACGCUGGAGUGGGGAGGCGGCUGUCUUCACACCCCAGACCCACUGCCCAGGGCAUGCUUCCCCGUAGGAAGCAAAACAAAGACCCGGUUCCCUGUCUGUGGGCAGGGGCAGGGGCCACUUUUAGGUCUUUUCUUAUUUUUUGUUCCCUUGGGUAGUUCCCUCUGCACACAAACCACCGCGUGCUCUUCAUGAUUGACCGCAUCCCCUCAGUGAGGCAUCCUAUGGCUGAUGUGUUCUGAAGACUGGGAAGUCCAAGAUCAAGGUGCUGGCAGAUUCGGUGUCUGAUUCUCCUGGCCUCAUCUGUCCCUGCCGCCAAGAUGGAUUAUCUGCAGGAACUUGGACCAACUCCACAGAACCUUCCUUAUGUUCUGUUCAUACUGCCCAGACCUGCCCUGGCUUCCCUGUUGCUCCUGAGGCAGAAGAGGCCUUUGGACUCACUCAGCCCCACAUCUGUACAGUCCACAGAUGCUGGGGAAAUUAACAUCACAAAGGGUUGACUUUAGAUCAAUGUGAGACAAGUAUUUCAACUAUGAUUGCAUAUUUGUCAGUGCCUCUUUGUAAUUCUGAGUUUUUUCCUUCAUUUAUUUCAUAAUAUACUGUAUGAUAAUGCGCAUUUUAAAUUCCCAUGUCUUCCUGGCUAACAUUUUUAUUUAGUCCUGAUGCCGUGGGCUUCUUUGCUGGGGAUUAUGGUGUCAGCAUCCUUUUAGGGAUCAUUAUUCUGCCUACCACAACUAUGAUUAACUUUUUGCCAACAAUUUUGAGAAUAUAGGUGAAGUGUGUAUUUUCUUGGGAAAAAGCUGGUUGCUUAUUUUAAUUGGUAAUACAGUAACACUUCCUUUUUGCUGAUUCUUGAUCUGGGAUGUAUACAUUUCUUCUUUUAAUGUUCAAAUUUUCUUGUCAUUUCAUGUUAUGUGUUUCUGUUGUAAAGUGUAUAUAUAUUUGAAUUUUGUUUUAUCAUCCAAUAUAAAAGUCUGUUUUGUGAGUUUAGUUUCUUUAUAUUUAUUGAGUGCUCAUUAGCUUUGAUUACUUGAUACUUCCUUAAGUUGUGAUUUCUAAUGGCCAUGUUUCUUUUUCCACAUUUUUUUCUUUCCUUCUUUUUUCCUUUUACUCCCUUAAUGGUUUCAGAGUCACACACAUUCUCUUGUCUACUGUAUUAUGUUCAGCAUAUUUGGUUCCUCUCUCUGCAGAGCUUCUGCUUCAGGAGGAUUAGACUUACUGGCUCUAUUGAGCCAGCCAUAGCUGACUUUCUCUGGCCAAUGAAACAUCUGUGAAAGUGAUGGUGUCACUUCCAAAGAGAAGCAUCAAGAGCCAGCACAUGGCUCCCUAGGUCUCUUCUCCCUCUGCUGAGUGGCACAGAGAGGCUGCUGGGUGGCCGGCAUCCUAGAGUGAUGCUGACAGAGAAGACAGCCUCUGCUGACCCCCAGUGGACAGGCAGCAGAAGCGUAAAAGAAGCAUUUGCUAGUAGUGUAAAGCACCAAGAUCUGCAGGCCAUUUGUUAGCUCAGCGUGGCUUAGCUUAUCCUGACUGGUAUGGUAGUUCCCAUAAGCAAGUAGGAGGAUUUUAAAUGCCUUUAUUUCACAAUCAUCUUAGAUUGCUAGUUUAGACCACUAAACUUUUAAAUAUAAUUCAAGUGCUCUACAAUGAUUUUUCUGCUUCUAAUAAAUGUUUGACUAUAUUAAAAUUGUUUAUCAAAAAUAAAUUUGAAACUGUUCAAUAAAAAGAGAUUGAUAGUUUAAAUAAGGGUAGGGUUCUCGAUUUACAGUGAUUUUCAUUCGUCCCUGAAUCUCAAAUAUCUUUCCAACAGCUACCACUAAUAUUAACUGUUAUGAUUACUUAUUGGCUGCUUCCUAAGAACCCAUCAUUUUGCUAAGAGCUCCACAUGUUUUCUCAUUUAAUCCUCACAACAACUCAAUUUAGCAACUGAGGAAACUAUGACUUAGUGGCAGGUAAGGAACAUACAUAUGAGCACAGCUAGUCAAUAUUAAUAGCAGAGCAAGAACUCAAAGUCUGGGCUGCCUGAUUGCAAAAUCGUGUGCCAUGCUGUUGUACCAAUAAGCCCCUUCCACGGUACUCUACUGAAGAACAAUGUGUGCCAAUGCAAAGCAAAUCUAGAUCACAGUUGUUAUUUCUAUGAUCACUCAUCAAAUAUAUACUUGCCUCUGUCUCCCAUUAUGAGUGGAGUCUACUUCCCUGCCCUGUGGGUUUUUCCCUUGUUCCUGUGCUUACAAAGAGCAUGGGAUGUCAGCAGUCUUGUGAGGGGAGGAUUGGCACAGGGCUGUGAGGUUUAGCUUGCCCUCCAGUGCAUGGCUGAUCCACUGGGAGAAGAAUGUGGCCAGACAGCUGUGGAGCAAAACUGAACCCAGAAUUGAGCUCAGAGUCAAGUCCAGCUGAAGGUUAGGCUGAAGUUGAGCCAUCCACAUCCUGCCCCAUCAGCCAAGCCAUGGCUCUUGUGCUCACCCAUGAGCAUGAGAAUAAAGCUUUUUGUUGUAAGCCAUUGAGUUUUGCCUCCUUUACAAAUGUUAUUUUAAUUUUUUAAGUAGCACAGCAAUGAUUAUUCCUGUUCCCAAAAUUUUUUGUCACAUUUUAGAUUACUUCUUUAGAAAGAUGACUAAGAGAAAAAAUCCUGGGCCCAGUGAAUGGGAUUCUUGAGGCAUUUAAUAUGCUCAUUUCAUCUGAACGUUUGAUACUAAGGAUUUCAAGAUGUCUCUGUUUUCUUUCUGAAACUUCAUGUCUAAUUGAUCAUUAUUAUCCAUGGCCUCAGGCUCAAGGAAGCUCUCUGAUCUCUUUCCUCUGUGUCAGUUCAGUGAGAGAACUAAGAUCACUAAGGUCACUGGCUUUGCCUUGAUGCAUCCACCAUGCCACUGCGGGAACCUGGGCAAGCAAACACCUCACUUCCGCCAUUUACAAAAUGGAGACACACAGCCCCACAGUUUUGCGAGGAUGAAGUCACAUAUAUUGAGAACACAGCAGUGUACUAAACUAAAAUAAAGAACUUAAUUCAAGCAAUACAUACACAGGCAAAAACCACCAGCUCUCAGAGUUGGAGUCUCUCUUCCCCUUCUGAUGACAAAAGGACUAAUGACCACAACCUACUGGUGCACAUGGCAUAUUCACACCUGACUCCCAGCAGCUGCUGUCAGGGUGGACGUGAAGGCCAAAGGCUGGGGCUGAGAAAUUUAGCAUGUGGUUCUUUGAGAAAUCUCACAAAAGCUUCUUUUAUCACUUGAGGACACAUCACCAUCAUCACCAUCAGAGACGACCACUAGUUUUCAUUAAUGGCAUUAAUAUAUUAAUAUAUUUCCCCACUUGCUUUACAAAAAAUAUGGAAGGUAGUUACCGAAAAACAUUAAGGAGAAAGAGAAUUAAGUACAAGAGCUGGGUGUGUGGGCAGUAAAUAGAGGGAAAGGGGAGCUGGCAAGUUGAACAAGAAGGAAAAUGAAUGUCACGUGCCUGUGAACAGCUGCUGGGCUCUGUAUUCAGUUUGAGCUCUCUACAAGCCAAGGCAAAAUGAUGGAAGUAACCAAUUGUAAGAUACACAGUAUCCACAAGGCCCUCUCUUGACACCCAUAUCAGAGAGCAAUUUCUCACUUAAAACAUUACUUGGUGAUACAGGGCACAGCCCUUUCCAUAUUUCAACAGAAUACAUGGGUCGUUUUCUCUGCUUCCUUCUCAUACUGCCUCCCCAGAGGCACAGGCCCCAAGCAAGUGCACAGUGAGGGUUGAAAUGGAGGACUGUAAAUCCUCAGAGCUUCUGCCCCAAGCAUCACGGUGCUCAAGAAUCACUGGGGUCUUGUUAAACGCAGAUUUGAUUCAGUGUGUCUGGACUGGGUCUUCCAGGCGAUGCCCAACUUGUGGUCCAGGAAGCACACUUUGAGAAUAUUUUUCACAACUGAACCUUUCAUAAAACCUGGAUACCAGAGUGCUUGGGGUUAAUUUUCUGAUGAGAGCUGGGUGGUCUCAUAUUCUAUGAAGCAGUCAAAGGCGGGGCCACAUGGUUUGAAUGUGCAGGGCCAACCUAACGGUCUCUGAUGAUAUUAACAGGCUGGACCAGGGCUGGAGCUUGCAGCUAAAGCCACUGCACUUCUCCAAGGAGAGGGGCCAUAGCGCUGCUCACCCCCCAACCAUUCCCUUAUGCCAACACUGCAGGUGACCGGCUUUUAUUCUUAGUCAAUGUCCAGGAUAAUUUUGUUAGAUUUUGUAUAUUUUAAUUUUUGCUUAAAUUUAGCAAACGUGGAUUUGAUCAUCUAAACUAGUGAGUGACAAGUGUGUGACAAGCCCCUAAAAUAAUGCCUUGGCUGGGUCUUUUAAAUAAUUUUUGUUCUCUUCAUCCUCACAAAAUAACUAAUGGGUACUACGCUUAAUACCUGGGUGAUGAAAUAAUCUGUACAAGAAACCCACAUGACACAAGCUUACCUAUGUAACAAACCUGUACAUGUACCCCUCAACUUAAAAUAAACGUUAAAAAUUGUUCUUAAUUAUUAGGAAUUCAGCCUCUAAUUCCCCACAGGUUUUCUUCCUUGCCAAGUCUUAGUAAACUUAUCCAUUCCACUCAUAUGACAAAAGAACUGAUGACUCAAGGGCCAAACAAUUUAAACAGCAAGAACAUGAAGAAAACCUCUCUUC